rnacentral:tRNA from 1 species
GCAGUCGUGGCCGAGUGGUUAAGGCGUCUGACUUGAAAUCAGAUUCCCUCUGGGGGCGUAGGUUCGAGUCCUGCCGACUGCG